AUCGAAAAUAAACUGGCAAUGCCAUUAAAAAAGUGGAUAAAAAAAGAGAAAAAGACAAAAGACAAAUAAUAUUACUCAAGACACAGCAUAGAAAACCCAAGACUAAGCAAUCCUCACAAUGUUUUCCACUUUUUGUGAAAUUGAAGCCAGUGAUCAAGCCUGAACAUAUUAUUAAUUCAACCAUGAGGUAAAAACGCCAAAUUUUCUAAUAUAUAUUCGUUAUCUAUAAAUUCGAUUAAAUCACAAGC
rnacentral:lncRNA from 1 species